rnacentral:rRNA from 1 species
AGAAUCAACGCUGGCGGCGUGCCUAACACAUGCAAGUCGAACGAGAAAGUGGGAGCAAUCCCACGAGUAAAGUGGCGCACGGGUGAGUAACACGUGACUAACCUACCCUUGAGUGGGGGGAUAACCUAGGGAAACCUGGGCUAAUACCGCAUAAUACCUACGGGUCAAAGGAGCAAUUCGCUUAAGGAGGGGGUCGCGGCAGAUUAGUUAGUUGGCGGGGUAAUGGCCCACCAAGACAGUGAUCUGUAUCCGGCCUGAGAGGGCGCACGGACACACUGGAACUGAAACACGGUCCAGACUCCUACGGGAGGCAGCAGUGGGGAAUUUUGCGCAAUGGGGGAAACCCUGACGCAGCAACGCCGCGUGGAGGAUGAAGCCCCUUGGGGCGUAAACUCCUUUCGAUCGGGAAGAUAAUGACGGUACCGGAAGAAGAAGCCCCGGCUAACUUCGUGCCAGAGCCGC